CCUACGGGGGGCUGCAGUGAGGAAUAUUGGUCAAUGGCCGGAAGGCUGAACCAACCAAGCCGCGUGAAGGACGAAGGUGCCAAGCAUUGUAAACUUCUUUUGUCAAGGGACAAAAUCAGGCUCGAGAGCCUGACCGAGGGGACGUGAAGAAAAAGCAUCGGCAAACUCCGUUCCGGCAGCCGCGGUAAGACGGAGGAUGCGAGCGUUAUCCGGAUUUAUGGGGGUUAAGGGGUGCGUAGGCGGGCUGUUAUGUCAGCGGUAAAAGCCCGGGGCUCAACCCCGGCGCGCCGUUGAAACUGGCUGUCUUGAGAUGUCGAGAGGUAUGCGGAAUGCGCAGUGUAGCGGUGAAAUGCUUAGAUAUUGCGCAGAACUCCGAUUGCGAAGGCAGCAUACCGGCGGCGAUCUGACGCUGAGGCACGAAAGCGUGGGUAUCGAACAGGAUUAGAUACCCUGGUAGUC
rnacentral:rRNA from 1 species